AGUGUCGCUUCCUUUAUGAAAUGUCAAAACUCCUUCUGAAGUCCUCUAUAAGGAAGCCAUCCUUCUCAGACAUCGUGUGAACUUGGCUUUUCUGGACCUCAGUUUACCCACCCCUCACCACUCCUGUGAGUGGUUUGUGGGGGGGGGGCAUAUAGCUUAGUGGUUAAGGGCAGGCGUUCUGGAAUGCACUGUGUGGGCUUGAGUUCUGUCUUCUCCUUUUUACUGUCUGUGAUCUUGGCAGCUGCAGCAAUUCAUCCUUAUCCCAGGACAAAGAUGCUUAUACAGAUGUGGUGUCAGCAGGAGAGAUGGACUGUUUGGCUGCAGACCCACUAGAUGGCCCCUCCUUUGGCGUGGAAGUGCUCACACCUCAAUAAAAGCCAAAACCACCUUUGAGUUGUACCUAAAGCCAGUUAAAAUCCCUAAACUCCAGCCUACUCCUAAACCCUUCCACCCGAAUCAAAACUAGGUCUUUUCAUUGUGCACAGAGCCAGCCUGAUCUCUCUCUCACUGUUCUCUCCCCCUCUCCUUGAGGUUAACUUGCCCAAUUAAAACUCUGACUGUGUGUUCCUAUCCCCUGA